UUCCAUGUAAAGUGUCUAGGGCA
rnacentral:piRNA from 1 species